UACGAGAGGGGCGAGCGUGAGUCAUAAGAAUUUGGCGUAAAGUGUAAAAAGGCGGAUAUAAUAAAUAUACAUGGAAGAUGUGUUGACUAGAGUAAAAUAGAGGAGAGUAGAAUUGAAAGUGUAAGGAUGAAAUCUAGAAAUAUUUUCAGGAAUAUCAAUAGCGAAGGCAACUCUCUUGGUUAUUACUGACGCUGAAUUACGAAAGUGUGGGGAGCAAACGGGAUUAGAUACCCUUGUAGU
rnacentral:rRNA from 1 species